GAUGAACGCUGGCGGCGUGCCUAAUACAUGCAAGUCGAGCGAACAGACGAGGAGCUUGCUCCUCUGACGUUAGCGGCGGACGGGUGAGUAACACGUGGAUAACCUACCUAUAAGACUGGGAUAACUUCGGGAAACCGGAGCUAAUACCGGAUAAUAUAUUGAACCGCAUGGUUCAAUAGUGAAAGACGGUUUUGCUGUCACUUAUAGAUGGAUCCGCGCCGCAUUAGCUAGUUGGUAAGGUAACGGCUUACCAAGGCGACGAUGCGUAGCCGACCUGAGAGGGUGAUCGGCCACACUGGAACUGAGACACGGGCCAGACUCCGACGGGAGGCAGCAGUAGGGAAUCUUCCGCAAUGGGCGAAAGCCUGACGGAGCAACGCCGCGUGAGUGAUGAAGGUCUUCGGAUCGUAAAACGCUGUUAUUAGGGAAGAACAAAUGUGUAAGUAACUAUGCACGUCUUGACGGUACCUAAUCAGAAAGCCACGGCUAACUACGU
rnacentral:rRNA from 1 species